rnacentral:rRNA from 1 species
AAUCUCGAAAGCCUAUCUCAGUUCGGAUUGGAGGCUGAAACUCGCCUCCAUGAAGUUGGAUUCGCUAGUAAUCGCGCAUCAGCCAUGGCGCGGUGAAUACGUUCCCGGGCCUUGUACACACCGCCCGUCAAGCCAUGGGAGUUGGGGGUGCCUGAAGUUCGUGACCGCAAGGAGCGACCUAGGGCAAAACUAAUGACUGGGGCUAAGUCGUAACAAGGUACC